UACGUAGGCAGCAAGCGUUGUCCGGAAUCAUUGGGCGUAAAGAGCGUGUAGGCGGCUCGGUAAGUCCGCUCUGAAAGCCCGGGGCUCAACCCCGGGAGGCGGGCGGAUACUGUCGGGCUAGAGUCCGGAAGAGGCGAGUGGAAUUCCUGGUGUAGCGGUGAAAUGCGCAGAUAUCAGGAGGAACACCAAUGGCGAAGGCAGCUCGCUGGGACGGUACUGACGCUGAGACGCGAAAGCGUGGGGAGCAAACAGG
rnacentral:rRNA from 1 species